UGUUGCUGGUCUCCGUAUGGGGGCAUGUGCACGCUCUGUUUACACAUCCACUCACACCUGUGCACGCUCUGUAGUUCUAUGGCCUGGGUGGGCUCUGUCCUCCUGCUGUGGUUCUAUGUCUUUACACACACACUACAACAAAGUCUCAUGGAAUGUAUGUCGCGUUUAACGCAAUGGAAUACAACUUUCAGCAACGGAUCUCUUGGCUCUCGCAUCGAUGAAGAACGCAGCGAAAUGCGAUAAGUAAUGUGAAUUGCAGAAUUCAGUGAAUCAUCGAAUCUUUGAACGCACCUUGCGCCCUUUGGCUAUUCCGAAGGGCAUGCCUGUUUGAGUAUCAUGAACACCUCAACUCUCAUGGCUUGCCAUGAUGUGCUUGGACUUUGGGGGUCUUGUUGGCCUGUGAGCCAGCUCCUCUUAAAUGAAUCAGCUUGCCGGUGUUUGGUGGCGUCACAGGUGUGAUAACUAUCUACGCUUGUGGUUUCCCACCAGGGUAACCUUCAGCAAUGAAGGUUCACCGGAGCUUAUAAAUGUCUCUCCUCAGUGAGGACAGAUUUUGACCGUUUGAUCUCAAAUCAGGUAGGACUACCCGCUGAACUUAAGCAUAUCAAUAAGCGGAGGAAAAGAAACUAACAAGGAUUCCCCUAGUAACUGCGAGUGAAGCGGGAAGAGCUCAAAUUUAAAAUCUGGCGUGCCUCCGGCCGUCCGAGUUGUAGUCUGGARAAGCGUUUUCCGUGCUGGACCGUGUACAA
rnacentral:rRNA from 1 species